CCUGGAUCAGUAGCUAUCACGUACAGAACUCAUUUCAGCACAAUAUCAUUUCCAUACAAUGCAAUCAGAGUACAAAAUUUGAGAGUUACAUCCGAAUCAACUCGGAACACGAAUACCGUACAUGCCCCUUGGGCUAAACGACAAGCAAAACUCAUACGCAGCAGUAGCUAGGGCUUCAAGUCUUCAUCUCCAAUCUUCACCACAGGCAUCCUUGAGCGAAGCAAUGCGACCCUUCCUUCAUGAAUUCUUCGAGAUCGGUCUUUCCCUCCAUGUCCAUACCUACACACUCACGAUCUAUCCCCAAGGAAUAGGACAGGUCCACGUCACCAUUCGUAUGCAAGCUUUAAGUGGCCUAAUGCUAGGAUUCAAAAGAAGUCAAGGUAUAGGUUCGAGUUUCCUAAGCAGCGGCAAGCAUAAAGAUUUAACUCCCAUAUCCAUCACCCCAAUCUCUUGUCACAUUGGGCACACCUUCC
rnacentral:lncRNA from 1 species